GGAGUAUUUGAGAGGUAAGGAAGUGGUGCCAGGUCCCGUGUGGCUGGUGGGAGUGCUCAUAGUGCUCCACUAGGAGAGACCCAAGGGUUUGGGUGUAGCGAGGAGGGAAGGAAGGAUGAAGCCCGAGGAACACAGAAAGAGAACUUCAUGUCAGAUUAUGAGAUGCAUGCCCAGGGACUCAAGCAGCAGGACUAAUUUCAGAGCACCUUUGACAAUUCAACUCCUUUCUUUAUGUACAUAGGUUGGACUUGGGGCCAGAUUUCUGAAGCUCAUCGUACUGAAUCCAGCUCAUAAGUUUACUUAAUUUGAUAAUAUUUUUCCAACUUGAAGACUUAGAGGGUUCCCAGUUUGGAUUCACCAACCUAGGUCUCAACAGAGAGUCCUGCAAAGCCAAGGAGAUGAAGUCUUUGACCCCCUUGUGAAGGACGUGUGUUCAAUUCCUCCCUACAAAUCCCGCAUGACUUUGGGCAUCUCACCUAGGGCUCGGGCUCCACCAGGAUCUAUCCCCUUGCUGGACACCAUGAAAAAACACCAGCUCCAAAUCACUAUCGAGGAAGACAGCUCUCACCUUCAAAACCAGCUGCCUGAACAUCCAGCCAGCCUUCACUGCUACACAAAUCAGAGAGAGCAAAAAAAAAAAAAAAAAAAAAAGCACGUAUCAAGGAACACAAAUCAGGGAGACCCAGCAUCGAUAGACUCCGAGUUGUCUGUGUGUAUGUCUGUGUCUUAACAUACCCAACUAUGUGGUAGAAAAACAUGAAAUAAUUAUACUCACAGAAGAACAUAUCCUAAAAAAAGGUUUCAUAGCAUGAUCAAGUCUUCAGAUGUCGCCUCCAUCCCUUCUGGCUGAGUUUACAGACUUCGCAUGGACCUGUGCAGUCUCAGGAGCCCGGUAGUGGUGAGGAACCAAAUGCAAAGAUUAUCUGUACGUAUCCUAAGAAAUGCACCACUACCAGACUGCCAAAAUCCUAGAAUCAUAGAAUCCCAGAACCAUUAAGGCUGAAAAAGCCCCCCAGGCUCAUCUGGUCCAACCACCCCCCUACC
rnacentral:lncRNA from 1 species